UUCACUGGUAAUGCAUAAUAUUUUUCAUUCAACGCCAAUCAGUCGUCGAGUUUAUAUUGUACAAACAAGUUGAAUCGCAUUAUUCCCGAGGAACCCACAGAUUUCUAUACUUUUUUUUUUAUUACUUAUAGAUCUGCCAAAAUAUCUUCGAGGCCCUCGCCGUACACAGUGCAUCCAAUACAACAGGCCCAAAUUAUACCUAAUCAUCUGAAUCAUUUACAAAGGCAUAACUAUAGAAAACUUGGGAGCGAUAAGCUUCAACUUCCUAUAAAGAAUUAUUUAAUUACUAGAUCAGUACCAAGUUAACUUAAAUUUAUUAUUAAAUUCUUUAUUAAUAACGAUAAGCUGUUAAAAAUAAUUUUUUAAUUUAAGCUGUUAAUUCUGUUCUGUGUCGAUAAAAUUUGGAUAAAUUUCAUGAUAAUUUGACAUUAACGUACAACUACUUAACAAAUUAUCACCUAUCAAAUGACAACGUUUUCUAAUUAAAUUUAAACUUAGAUUUAUUUAUUGUUUUAUAUCUUCCAUUGUGGCUUAUAUUUUUGCGCAGAAAAUCAAUUUACCCCUCUCUUUUUUCUUUACAUAUUUGUCUCUUAAAGUUUCUUUUAUAAUUAUUUACUGAGUAACAUUUAACACCUAAAAGUAUAUGAGGUUUGAAUUCAAAUUCAAAUCGGUAAGCAAUAGCAAAAUGCCAGAUUGUUUGUACAUUCCUUAACGUUAGACAAAGUGUUUGGGGAUCUUUCAUUCAGCCAACCAGACAUAAAGAAACAUUCGUAAUGGAUACCGAAACGGGAUUCACGUUGCACGGGGUGAAUAUGCCUACAGGACGAGGCCAUUAAUGCACACCAGCGUUCUAUUUCAACUGUCCAACAGUGUUCAGUACAAAUAAUCAAAAAUAUGCAUACGGUGAUAGCACUGCAUUCGUUAUCAAAUUGUUAAUGAUGGGCGUGUGAUAACAAUUUGUCAAUUUUGAUAUGCCAUCCUAUCGAUAAUCGACAUGUGACAACCCGCGAUCCGUGUUCGACACAAAAUAUACAAUAUUUAUACACUUGGUCGACCGACGUGAAUGCAUAUUAUUGAAUUAAAUAGUUAUUACAAUGAAUACGAGUUGCUGAAGAUUUUAACUACGUUUGGUUCGUGUAAUUUAGGUGCUCCAAGGAAAG